rnacentral:misc_RNA from 1 species
AUGGAGCCGUGGGACGGCCCCGCCGCGAUUGCCUUCACCGACGGCCGCCAGAUCGGCGCCACGCUCGAUCGCAACGGCCUUCGUCCGGCGCGUUAUCUCGUCACCAAGGACGACCGCAUCGUGAUGGNAUGGGCGUGCUGACGAUUCCCGAGGACCAGAUCAUCACCAAGUGGCGCUUGCAGCCCGGCAAGAUGCUGCUGGUCGACCUCGAGCAGGGUCGCCUCAUUCCCG